GGAUGUGAGGGCGAUCUGGGUGUGACAUCUGUCACCCCACUGAUCACCAGGAUUGAUCAGCAGAUCUGGCUGGCUAGGAGGGUGUCCCCUUCCUCUCUUAACACUUCAUGUGUGUCCCUUCUGAAGCUGCACACUGGGUCAAAGAGGACAACCUCCCCCAAUAGAGAAGGGCCAUUCCUCAGUCAAGGGUAUAGGAGUAGGCUGCGCUCCCCUGCUAGAACCUCCAAAACAAAACAAAACAAGACAAAACAAAACAAAAUAAAACACGCUCACUUCACUGUGAAAGCUUGCCCAUAGCCGUUGAUCUACUG
rnacentral:snRNA from 1 species